CAUUCACAGAGACUUCUUCCCGAUAGUAUGUCCCGUUGUCAGGCCACGUGGGAUUUUUUUUUGUAUUUGCCGUUUGCAGACUUCCUGGUCCUGAAGGUGGGUCCUGCAGGGGACAAAGUGGGUCGGGAAAGAGGAUAUGAUAGCCAAUAUCAGCACAGGAAGAGAGAUGACCCUGGAUCUACAGCUCUCCUGCAGAAUUUGUGCUGAGGCAACUUCAUGAAACAGAGUAGAAAUAAGACAGGACAAUGAAAGCUAAUGAAAUAUGAAGCUUUUCACUUCUAGCUCAUAUGUUCCAGCACAUCCUUCAACCUGGAAGGAAAUACAAUCUAGGAUGUGGUAGUGACCUCUUUAUUACUGACCUGUUGUCAGCAGCAAAUAAAAGUUUUUGCAACUUUAA